CAAUAGUAUUUAUUUAUAAACUAUAAAUUAAAAGCCAGAGACUUCAAUAGUAGUGAUCAGGAGGAGAUAGGAGAGGAUUAGAGGAAGUCAAGAGUGGAAGUUUCCUUGUUUUGGAAAGGUAGGCAGUAGUUUAAACUCUAAACUCAAGACAAAAUUGGCUUGUUACACAGUGUUAAUAGUAGGAAUAUAGAGGAAAAAUAUGGAUAGCAGAUAUAUGUUGUUGAAUCUUAUUAAACAUAUUAACAUAAUGUGUCUGAUACGUCACUUAGCUUUUGAGAAAACUGGAGUUUGUAUGAAGUGGA
rnacentral:lncRNA from 1 species